rnacentral:rRNA from 1 species
CAAGGAUUCCCCUANUAGCGGCGAGCGAAGCGGGAAGAGCCCAGAUUGGAAAGCUCCCGCAAGGGCGCAUUGUAUCCUGGAGACGCACCUCGAGUGUCGCGGCUGGGUCCAAGUCUGCUGGAAAGCAGCAUCGUAGAGGGUGAGAAUCCCGUGCUUGGCCUGGUUUUUGUGUGGCGAUGCGUUGUGGGGUGUGCUCGGCGAGUCGCGUUGUUUGGGAAUGCAGCGCAAAAAUGGGUGGUAAACGCCAUCGAAGGCUAAAUAUGGGGGAGAGACCGAUAGCGAACAAGUACCGUGAGGGAAAGAUGAAAAGAACUUUGGAAAGAGAGUUAAACAGUACGUGAAAUCGUCAAAAGGGAAGCGCUGGCAGUCUGUGCCGUAGUGUGUGUCCUGGCACCCGAGUGUCUGCUUGGGCCUAUGGGGACAUGCAUGGGGGCCCGUGUCGGUUGGCGGCUUUUUGGGAGAAANAGAUG